AUUAAUUGGAGUUCUAGUUCAUUUACUUUGAGAAAAUUAGAGUGUUCAAAGCAGGCAUAAUUGGCAUCAUGAAUACAUUAGCAUGGGAUAAUAGAAUAUGACAUUGGUCUUAUUUUGUUGGUUUCUAAGGCCAAAGUAAUGAUUGAUAGGGAUAGUUGGGGCCGCUCGUAUUGAGUUGUCAGAGGUGAAAUUCUAGGAUUUACUCAAGACGAACUAAUGCGAAAGCAUUCGGCAAGGAUGUUUUCAUUAAUCAAAGAACGAAAAGUUGGGGGGAAUCGAAGAUGAUCAGAUACCGUCGUAGUCUCAACCAUAAACUAUGUCAACCGAGGAUCCGGUAGCGUUACAUGGAUGACCUUCCGGGCACUCUGUGAGAAAUCAUAAGUAUUUGGAUUUCGGGGGGG
rnacentral:rRNA from 1 species